AUUGAACGCUGGCGACAUGCCUUACACAUGCAAGUCGAACGGCAGCACGGGUGCUUGCCCCUGGUGGCGAGUGGCGAACGGGUGAGUAAUACAUCGGAACAUGUCCUGUAGUGGGGGAUAGCCCGGCGAAAGCCGGAUUAAUACCGCAUACGAUCUACGGAUGAAAGCGGGGGACCUUCGGGCCUCGCGCUAUAGGGUUGGCCGAUGGCUGAUUAGCUAGUUGGUGGGGUAAAGGCCUACCAAGGCGACGAUCAGUAGCUGGUCUGAGAGGACGACCAGUCACACUGGGACUGAGACACGGCCCAGACUCCUACGGGAGGCAGCAGUGGGGAAUUUUGGACAAUGGGCGAAAGCCUGAUCCAGCAAUGCCGCGUGUGUGAAGAAGGCCUUCGGGUUGCAAAGCACUUUUGUCCGGAAAGAAAUCCUUGGCCCUAAUACGGUCGGGGGAUGACGGUACCGGAAGAAUAAGCACCGGCUAACUACGUG
rnacentral:rRNA from 1 species